rnacentral:rRNA from 1 species
CCUACGGGAGGCAGCAGUGGGGAAUAUUGCACAAUGGGGGGAACCCUGAUGCAGCGACGCCGCGUGAGUGAAGAAGUAUUUCGGUAUGUAAAGCUCUAUCAGCAGGGAAGAAAAUGACGGUACCUGACUAAGAAGCCCUGGCUAACUACGUGCCAGCAGCCGCGGGAAUACGUAGGGGGCAAGCGUUAUCCGGAUUUACUGGGUGUAAAGGGAGCGUAGACGGUUAUGCAAGUCUGAAGUGAAAGCCCAAGGCUCAACCAUGGGACUGCUUUGGAAACUGUAAAACUGGAGUGCAGGCGAGGUAAGCGGAAUUCCUGGUGUAGCGGUGAAAUGCGUAGAUAUUAGGAGGAACACC